rnacentral:ncRNA from 1 species
AAAAGACUUAGUCCUAACCUUACCGUUAGUUUUUGCUAGAUAUAUACAUGCGAGUAUCCGCGCCCCAGUGUAAAUGCCCCAAACCCCUUGUCAAGGUAUAAGGAGCAGGCAUCAGGCACACCUGCUAUAGCCGUAGCCCAAGACGCCUUGCUCAGCCACACCCCCACGGGUAAUCAGCAGUAAUUGACAUUAAGCAAUGAGUGUAAACUUGACUUAGCCAUAGCAACACCCAGGGUUGGUCAAUCUUGUGCCAGCCACCGCGGUCACACAAGAAACCCGAACUAACCGCAGAACGGCGUAAAGAGUGGCCCCAUGUUAUCACACCAACUCAGAUCAAAGUACAGCCAAGCUGUCAUAAGCCCAAGAUGUAUCUAAAGCCACCCUAAAUAUGAUCUCAGCCUCAUGAUUAAUUAACCGCCACGAAAGCUAGGACACAAACUGGGAUUAGAUACCCCACUAUGCCUAGCCUUAAAUCCUGAUACUUCCCCCACAUUAAAGUAUCCGCCCGAGAACUACGAGCACAAACGCUUAAAACUCUAAGGACUUGGCGGUGCCCCAAACCCACCUAGAGGAGCCUGUUCUAUAAUCGAUAACCCACGAUUAACCCAACCACUUCUUGCCAGAGCAGCCUACAUACCGCCGUCGCCAGUUCACCUUUUCUGAAGGAACAACAGUGAACACAAUAGCCCUACCCGCUAGUAAGACAGGUCAAGGUAUAGCUUAUGAAGCGGAAGAAAUGGGCUACAUUUUCUACGAUAGAAAACCCCACGGAAAGAGGUGUGAAACCACCUCUAGAAGGCGGAUUUAGCAGUAAAGCAGGAUAAUAAAGCCUCCUUUAAACUGGCCCUGGGGCACGUACAUACCGCCCGUCACCCUCCUCACAAGCUGCCGUACUUAGGAUAACUAACACCCCAACAAGCUAAAGAUGAGGUAAGUCGUAACAAGGUAAGUGUACCGGAAGGUGCACUUAGCAUACC